UGGGGGCUUUGACACAGAUAGUGCAUAUAGGAGAUGGCGCAUGAGAUAUUUUCUCUAAUUAUUUGAUUACUUCAUGAAAAUAUUUUCAUGUCCGAAAAGGCGAAAACCCAACUACCUCUGGCCAACAACGAUGAUCAAGGCUCACCGUAAAUUCAAGCAUUCCGACGACAGAUUCGCAGAGUAACACGUCGAACCUAUUUUUUAUUUUAAUCAAAAGAGUCCAUG
rnacentral:lncRNA from 1 species